rnacentral:rRNA from 1 species
UACCAAAAGAUUAAGUUAUAUAGAUUGGUAAAAAGACAGUUAAGUAUUAAAAUUAUAAGCUUAAUAAAUUUUUAUAUGAAGGUAAAAUUUGAAUAUAAAAUAUUAAUUUUAUUUAAGCUAACAUAUUGAAGCUGUGAUAGUUUUGAGGGAAACUGGGAUUAGAUACCCCAUUAUUCAUAUAUCGUAAAAUAACAUGAGUUUACCAGAGUACUAUGAAUAUUAAAAAUUUAAAACUCAAAGGGCUUGGCGGUGUCUUAGACCAAUUAGGGGAACCUGUCUCAUAAUCGACAGUCCACGUAAUACCUAGCCUUUUUUAGCAAAACAGUUUAUAUACCGUCGUCGUCAGGUAACUUUUAAAAAUAAAGAAGUUAGCAAAGUAAGUUAUAUUAAGUAAGACGUCAGAUCAAGGUGUAGCUCAUAAAGAGGGGAGGAUGGGUUACAAUUAUCUAUUUAUAAUUAUGAAUAGCUUAAUGAAAAAAUCUUGAAGGAGGACUUAAAAGUAAUAAGUAUAAUAUAUAAAUAAUUUGAAUUAGGCUCUGAGACGUGC